GACGAACGCUGGCGGCGUGCUUAACACAUGCAAGUCGAACGGAAAGGCCUGCUUUCCCUUGUGGAUUGCGGGUACUCGAGUGGCGAACGGGUGAGUAACACGUGAGUGAUCUGCCCCCAACUUGGGUAUAAGCCUGGGAAACUGGGUCUAAUUCCCGAUAGGACUGCAGGGUGGUGCCUGUGGUGGAAAACGAUUUUCUAGUGGUUGGGGAUGAGCUCGCGGCCUAUCAGCUUGUUGGUGGGGUAAUGGCCUACCAAGGCGGCGACGGGUAGCCGGCCUGGGAGGGUGGACGGCCACAUUGGGACUGGGAUACGGCCCAGACUCCUGCGGGAGGCAGCAGUGGGGAAUAUUGCACAAUGGGCGGAAGCCUGAUGCAGCGACGCCGCGUGGGGGAUGACGGCCUUCGGGUUGUAAACUCCUUUCGACCGCGAGGAAGCCACCUGGUUGGAAGGGUGGUGACGGUAGUGGUAGAAGAAGCACCGGCUAACUACGUG
rnacentral:rRNA from 1 species